UUCAACAAGCUGAAGAAAAACAAAGAGAGCCCCUUUUGUCGAUUAACAAACAAAAUUGACGACAAGAAUACGGAAAAUAGUCUAGGACCAGUUGUUCAUUCGCGUGGGGUAAAUAUUUACUCGGAAGCAAAUCGGUGAAGAGCACGAGCGCGUUGCGGCCUCGAUCCAUCGAGGGCGGUGGAAUCGAUUGAAUGGCCGUCGCUGAAACGACGAAUCCUUCCCACCGACACGGUCCACUCUUCGUCACAAAUAGAGUUUCUCAGGGAAUCGGUUUCAAAUCGGUAAAUAUUUUUCUACGUUCAUUAAGGAUUAAAUCAUACGAUGAUUAUCAUGUGUCAAUUAUUAACCUUGACCCUUUGACAGUGUCAUAAUAAAAUAACGAAGAAUUCAGAAUGAAGGAUUUAAAAAUAAGACUGCAUUCCUGAGGCCAGAUAGAAAAAAAUAUGUACUUUCAACUUUUUAGUAAAUAAAUAUUAAUAAUUGUAUUAAGUAUAAUGAUAUUUAAUCCUUCAUAGAUAAUUGAUUGUAUAAUGUGUAACAGAGCAUUUCACAAUAAGUAUCGUAAAACUUUUUAGAUUCUUUGAGAUUUUCUUCUCAUGAGCUACACUACCGAAGGAUUAACGCGAAGAAAUGAUACAUACACAUAUACAAGCAUGAUCUUUUGGGCUUCUAAAUAUCAAGUUACGUUUCUGAUGUACGGAACCGGUCUGACUAUCGAUAUCAUUUGUAAACUCAUGUAAAUUAGUCCAUCACAGAAGAGAAUUCUUUUGUAUCUUUCGAGUGACUGGCAAGAUGCCACAGGAUCUAAGAGCGAAAUUUUUUUACGGAGUUAGUACUCAAGUUGAGACUAUUUCGUUUAGAUUGUGGCGAAUGAAGUCUCGUUUCGAUUGUGGAUGACUAAACAUUCGGAUUCUACAUCUAAGGAAUAAAUUUUGUUUGAAAUAGAAAUAAAAAACUUGUUUCAACUAAUUUAAUAUUUUUAUUUCAAAAGUAUUUUAAACAUUUCCCUAGGUGUAUGAUAUAUAUAACUUUCUAUAUAUUAAGUACUAUAUUUGUAGUACUAUCUUGUAGGUUAUUGAUUAAACAAUGUAUUUGUUUUCAGUAAAACCAGUUUGAUAUUUUAGAACAUUGUGUCUUCUUUGUAAGACCAUCCGAAAUUCCAGGUAUGUACCUACUAUUAAUAGGAAAAGAAAAAAAUUUGGUUAUGCCAAUUGAUCGAAUACUUGUUUGCCUUGUCGAGUACAAGAGCAUUCUACUAUAAGUUCAAGAACAGCAUUUCAAAGACUCUUUUGUUUCACAUGUUAUUUCAUUCUGCGUCAAUGGCCACAUACAAUGUUUAAAUAUCUUAUUUGAACUUCCUUGUUAUAGGAAUAUGUAUUUUGGUCUACAUUUGUGCAUACAUUAUCCUGCUGUUUAAAGAAAACAUGUAUUUCGUACUGCAAAUAUAAUUAUUUAAACAUUCAACUUCAACAACUGAUAGUCAAAUGAAAUUUUCAUUCAACUAAAUCUGUGACCCUUCUUAUUACAGAAAUAGCAGUUCAGACGCCUUUCAAAUAUUCUUUACAAAUAGUCUGUACCUAGUGUGUGAUAUAACAGCUAAUUUUUCAAGCCCAAUUUUAUCACAAAUGAAAUCUCCAACGCAAUUUCGUCAUUCCUAUCUUCCAUAUUAUUUUGAGCCAUAAAAUCUCGCUGACUUCAAUUGUACCACGAAUUUAACAUCUAACGGUGAAUGUGCUGCUCCUUUUUGUGUUAAUUAUUUUGGCCACAGUGGCCGUGUUACUGCGUGUCGGAAUUUCGUAAUGCUACCUAUGAAGUUACACCCGUAGCCAAGAACAAAGACGCAGUCCUACGUGAAAACGCGAGAACGAUACUCGAAACGAAACAGCCGUCGCACACCGACUGCCACAUCUGAAUUCAUUUCGCACAUCCGCGCCAGGAAAGUAGUACGUGUCGGGUCUAAAGUUCAGCCGAACGCACAAGCUCCUACCGGCCGUGAAUCACGAAAAACCGUCGGGGCUCAUCGUUAGGUGACGCGACGCCCGUAUGCUCGUGUGCGAUAAAAAUUGUCCAACGAAUCAAGCAAGGCGAACGAAGUUGCGAAACCUAUAGAUCACGAAAUGAUGAAAACAAGACAAAUUUCAGGGACUAAGAAGUUGACUUUAAAUCGAUAAAAAGAAAUAAUGCGAAUGAUUUAGAUAACAUUAUCAGAGAAAAAAAAUGCAUCGCACUACUUUUUAUGUAUUACACACUUUUCAUGGAUGAAGAAUACCAAAUUUUGGGUAGAAAAUAUCUGAAGAGAAACGAGUUCAAGCUCGAAGAAAAAAUAAACAGGACAGCAAGAUUAAUAAAAUAAGUCAAAUGUAGAUGAGUGAAAAUUAUAGCACUCGCUAUCCUUAUUGGUAAGGUUGUACAAAAAGGGAUAAAUUAUUUUUACUACAAAGAACACAUUAUUAUGUUCUAUUUAAUAAUCUUUAUACUAGAAUUUUUUCUUUUUUACAAAAAUUUAUAUCACUAUAUUUUGUCUUUUUCUAUUAAGACGCACAUGUGUCGCAAUGUUAUCAAGUGACAAAUUUCGUAAGGUCUAAAUAUAGAAUAUAAUUACGUUAUAUGAUAAAGAUUUAAAUUUACCACGUUAAAGAAUACAUCGAAUUUUUUCAAUUUAUGUAAAAAUUCCUAUUACGAUUUACUGAUAUACGCCAUCGUAUCCAUCGGUCCACAAAAAAUAGGUGAUAUUUUCAUGAAUAUAGCGCGCAUGCGUGGAAUGCACGUGUAUGUUAUACACAAUGCGUAUUCGUCUAUGUCCGCACGCGCGCGGAUACAGUCGUAUUUAUGAAGCACACGCAGAAAUCACAUGUGUGUAAAUAUUUUUCGAACUUUAUGAAUUCUUAAACGAAAAACUCUAUCAUUGAGAAAAAAUCAAUAAAACACAAUCUCUGAAACACAAACGUCAACAACAUCGUGAAGUACACGUAACGUUACGUUUCUAAAUGUAAUCAUACGUUCAAAGUACAUUUAACUAUCACUCACCAUAGAAAUAUAGAAAACGAUAUUAUGAGUAUAAAACUAUCUUUUGUAUGCAUAAAAUUCUCACAUAUGUUAACAUCUUUUGCAGAUGUAUGUAUUUUACAGAGUAAUAACAAGGUACAUAUUCAAAUCAUAACAGGUUAAGUGCCAUGCUUACAAAUGACCGCCAUUGCCAAAAUGAAUUGAAGUAUUCGAGUGAAAGAAACAGUCAUAUUCGUAACAUUUGUAAUACUUUUAAUGUUAUAAUACCAAUGUAAACUACUAAAUGCACCAUAAAACAUU